GAUGAACGCUGGCGGCGUGCCUAAUACAUGCAAGUCGAGCGAACAGACGAGGAGCUUGCUCCUUCGACGUUAGCGGCGGACGGGUGAGUAACACGUAGGUAACCUACCUAUAAGACUGGGAUAACUUCGGGAAACCGGAGCUAAUACCGGAUAAUAUUUCGAACCGCAUGGUUCGAUAGUGAAAGAUGGCUUUGCUAUCACUUAUAGAUGGACCUGCGCCGUAUUAGCUAGUUGGUAAGGUAACGGCUUACCAAGGCAACGAUACGUAGCCGACCUGAGAGGGUGAUCGGCCACACUGGAACUGAGACACGGUCCAGACUCCUACGGGAGGCAGCAGUAGGGAAUCUUCCGCAAUGGGCGAAAGCCUGACGGAGCAACGCCGCGUGAGUGAUGAAGGUCUUCUGAUCGUAAAACUCUGUUAUUAGGGAAGAACAAACGUGUAAGUAACUGUGCACGUCUUGACGGUACCUAAUCAGAAAGCCACGGCUAACUACGUG
rnacentral:rRNA from 1 species